GCAAGUCCAGCAUACUUUCUGAAGGAGUGUCUCGGCCCGAAUCGUCAGCCUUCCUGUUCCUCUGAUGCUGCUUGGCCUGCUGUGUUCAUCCAGCUCUGCAUCUUGUUACCUCAGAUUCUCCAGCAUCGAGAGAGAGAGAGCAAACAGUUCAGCCAGUCACUGAACCAUGAGGAUCCUCAAUGAAUACUUCUUGACAAAAUGUGCCUUCAACUUACUUCAGCUGUUUAUUCUACUGAGUUACUGCAUCCAAAUUACCAGUGGCAAUGUCAAAAUGGAAUCUUACCGUGCUCCCGGAAGCUCUAUGUUCUUCCCUGGAGUUGAUGAGUAUGAACGGAGCACAACAAAAUUUUACCAAUGGAAAGUGUCCAAUGGGGGUACAAAGAAUGGGCUCAGUGCGGGAGUGCUACUGUUUCACGUUGGGGCUGCAGAACCUUCAGUAUUAAAUAAGUACACACGUCGCCUUGAAUUCUUCCCAACCAAUGGAUCGUUCAUCCUUCAUCAUUUAACUUCUUCAGAUGAGGGUCUUUAUACACUUCCCAUCAAUCUACGUGAUAUCAUCAUUCAAAAUGUUCAGCUAUGGA